GUAGCUUGAAGCCAUUGGAAAAGAUGAUGAGUAAUGUGUCAUCAUCAACACCUUCCAUAUCUGCUGGCCUUGUCUCCAGAUUGAAGUCUCUGCGUAUUUCAUAUCCUGACACGCUUGAUUUGCUAACCGAAGAGUAUGACAAGCAAUGGGAAGCCCUUACCAGCCUACGCUCUGUAGAACUUUCUGCCCUUCAUGAAUUGGUCUCUCUUCCAAAGGGAUUUCAACGAGUUACUAGUCUGCAGAGUCUUAAAAUCUGGUUUUGUGAUAAUUUGACGGUUUUAACAGAAGGGAUGCAUUUACAAUACUUGGAAAUCAAAGAGUGUCCCCAAUUGUUAGAAAAAUGUGGAAGCAAUAUGGGUGUUGAAUGGCCAAAGAUUGCUCACAUCCCAAAUAUUAAAAUUGAUGACCGGUGGAUUCAAGAAGAUGGCUGCUACCUAUUAAAUUCAAAGGAACACGCCUCUACUUCAUCAGAAGGGGCCUGAUAUAUUCAGUGAUGAUAAUGGCGCGCUAUAAUGAUGGGCUUUUGGAGUCUGUUCUCUUUCAUGCCAAUCUUGUUUGGACUUUGGUACUGUACCUUCUGCAAAGGCUUCAGCACAUUACCCACAUUGAAACAACUCAAUCUUGAUGAUCAUGAUCAUUAUGUGCUGUGUUUCAAUUAGAGUAAGCAGCAUAAUCUAGAGGGAGUCUGAUAUACCCACAAUGACAAUGGUAUGCAUGAGAAGACUGAGAGGCUCCACUCUUUUUUCUGUUCUGAUGUGAUUCACCUCCACAAUCCAAUUUUACAAUUGAAGAGUAUAAACAGAGUCCAGAAAACGUAAGUAAUUGAGUUUUUGCUCUUCUUAAUUGCUUUACAUUCAUUACUAAAAAUAAUUUCCCCCUUCAGGCUACUUUAUGGAUACUAAGAUAUGCAGAGUAAAAUCUAGCUAGCUGUUUUUAACGAAAGCACUAUGAAUAUUAAGGGUACAUUAAUAUCUGUUUGGUCUCUGUUCUUUUUAAUAAAUAAGAUAUAGCUUUUUUCAAUUGUUUCUCUGUCAUAUUUCAAUUCUCAUAUACCAUUAAUACAAGAUAUGGCAAGCUAAAAGUGCUACAAAUGCGCUGAGUUUUUUCUGCCUUGGAAGUACUAUCAACAAAUACGAAAACAUUGAGUAGUAAGUAUCACAAAUUUUCUUUCUUCUUUUGGUUCUUUUGUGUUAAAUUUUGUUUACUAAAAGUGCCUUUUUUUCAUUCUGACUUUCAGAAAUUGAUUUGUGAUAUAUCACAGUCUUAUGCUUGAGAGCAUGAUUCAUAGUAUAAAAUGUUGAGGUAAACUCCAUUGUAAUUGGUUUAUUUCUUCU